rnacentral:rRNA from 1 species
AGUGGAUGGGGAGCAACCUAGUUGUGCGUGUGUAAAGGUAGUGCCAAGAAAAGCGAUGAUCAUGUUGAAAAUCAAUUCCCGGUACCCGAAACCGACACAGGUGGGCAAGUAGAGAAUACUAAGGGGCGCGAGGUAACUCUCUCCAAGGAACUCGGCAAAAUGACCCCGUAACUUAGGGAGAAGGGGUGCCACCGAGAGGUGGUCGCAGUGAAGAGGCCCAGGCGACUGUUUAGCAAAAACAUAGGUCUCUGCAAACUCGAAAGAGGAGGUAUAGGGGCUGACGCCUGCCCAGUGCCGGAAGGUUAAAGAAGUUGGUCAGUCUUAGGAUGAAGCUAGCGACUGAAGCCCCGGUGAACGGCGGCCGUAACUAUAACGGUCCUAAGGUAGCGAAAUUCCUUGUCGGGUAAGUUCCGACCCGCACGAAAGGCGUAACGAUCUGGGCGCUGUCUCGGAGAGAGGCUCGGCGAAAUAGGAUUGACUGUGAAGAUACGGACUACCUGCAUUUGGACAGAAAGACCCUAUGAAGCUUUACUAUAGCUUGGAAUUGUGUUCGGGCUUCCUGUGCGCAGGAUAGGUGGGAGGCGUAGAAGGUAUUCUUGUGGGGAUACUGGAGCCAACGGUGAGAUACCACUCUCAGGAGGCUAGAAUUCUAACUUAAUUAAGGACAGUUUCAGGUGGGUAGUUUGACUGGGGCGGUCGCCUCCAAAAAGGUAACGGAGGCGUACAAAGGUUCCCUCAGACUGGUUGGAAAUCAGUCGAAGAGUGCAAAGGCAGAAGGGAGCUUGACUGCGAGAAGUACAGUUCGAGCAGGGUGGAAACACGGUCUUAGUGAUCCGACGGUGCUGUGUGGAAGGGCCGUCGCUCAACGGAUAAAAGUUACUCUAGGAUAACAGGCUGAUCUCCCCCAAGAGUUCACAUCGACGGGGAGGUUUGGCACCUCGAUGUCGGCUCAUCGCAACCUGGGGCGGAAGUACGUCCCAAGGGUUGGGCUGUUCGCCCAUUAAAGCGGUACGUGAGCUGGGUUCAGAACGUCGUGAGACAGUUCGGUCCAUAUCCGAUGUAGGCGUGAGAAUAUUGAGAGGAGCCUUCCUUAGUACGAGAGGACCGGGAAGGACGCACCGCUGGUGUACCUGUUAUGAUGCCAAUUGUAAACGCAGGGUAGCCAAGUGCGGAGAGGAUAACCGCUGAAAGCAUCUAAGUGGGAAGCCCACCUCAAGAUGAGUAUUCUGGUGUAAGGUCACGGGAAGACGACCCGUAAAUAGGCACGAGGUGGAAGUGCAGAGAUGUAUGAAGCCGAAGUGUACUAAUAGACCGUCGGCUUGAUC